UUAGUUUUAUCAUUCUCAUAUUUUAGAAGUUACAGGGGGGGACACAUUUUACCACUUUGGAAGUGUCUCUCGCGCAAACUAUUCAGUUUAGAAAAAAAUGAUAUUAGAAACCUAAAUAUCAUUUUUGAAGACCCUAUCCGUAGAUUAUUUUUGAGACGUAUAAAAAAAAAACUACUUACUAGAUCUCGUUCAAACCAAUUUUCGGUGGAAGUUUACAUGGUAAUGUACAUCAUAUAUUUUUUUUAGUUUUAUCAUUCUCUUAUUUUAGAAGUUACAGGGGGGGGGACACACAUUUUACCACUUUGGAAGUGUCUCUCGCGCAAACUAUUCAGUUUAGAAAAAAAUGAUAUUAGAAACCUAAAUAUCAUUUUUGAAGACCUAUCCAUAGAUACCCCACACGUAUGGGUUUGAUGAAAAAAAAAUUUUUGAGCGAUUUAUGACGUUUAAA